UACGGGGGGGGCAAGCGUUGUUCGGAAUUACUGGGCGUAAAGGGCGCGUAGGCGGCUCGUUAAGUCAGGUGUGAAAACUCUGGGCUCAACCCAGAGCCUGCAUUUGAAACUGACGAGCUCGAGUUCUGGAGGGGAAAGCGGAAUUCCUGGUGUAGCGGUGAAAUGCGUAGAUAUCAGGAGGAACACCGGUGCGAAGGCGGCUUCUGGGACAGAAACUGAUCGCUGAUGCGCGAAAGCUAGGGAGCAAACAGG
rnacentral:rRNA from 1 species